AAGUUCUUGCCAUGAUAAAGUUUGGGUGCUAGAUGGAUGUUUGCCUCAAUGGCGUGCUUCUGUGUAUGAUGUUGAAUCAAGCGCCUCCAGUGAUGCCAUCUUAAAGGCCAGUGCUGCUGGUGAAGCAAUUGAGAAAGUUUACCAGGGUCAAUCGGUUGGUCCAUUCACAUUUGAAGCAAAGUUGCAGACCCAUCUUAUUUGGAGCCAUGAUCAGGUCAGUGUUGAAAGGGUCCCAAACCUGCUUAUUGUUUUUCUUUGCGACUCCCUAAACUCUUUCUGCACAUUCCAUUGCAACUAAUACAUCAAGACCCAGACACAUCAACUUAUAGAUGCUCGAUCAAAACCUAGGUAUCUUACUUGUAUUCUGAAAUUUGAAGUCUUGUAUGUUCUGUCCAAUUUCCAUGUAACAAGUCACAUUGUUAAUUUCUACAAUCAUAUCAAGUGCCCGUAAUGGGCAGCUUGUUAUUAAGUUUGCUACAGAGAGAGGCUCAAAACUAGGCUUAAUGUAUGAACUCUUUGUUUUAAUUUUAAUGUAUGAACUCUUUCAUUUAA